UUAGUAGGGCACUCUAGUGAGACUGCCGGUGACAAACCGGAGGAAGGUGGGGAUGACGUCAAGUCCUCAUGGCCCUUAUGGGUAGGGCUUCACACGUCAUACAAUGGUCGGUACAGAGGGUUGCCAAGCCGCGAGGUGGAGCCAAUCCCUUAAAGCCGAUCGUAGUCCGGAUCGUAGUCUGCAACUCGACUACGUGAAGUCGGAAUCGCUAGUAAUCGCAGAUCAGCAUGCUGCGGUGAAUACGUUCCCGGGUCUU
rnacentral:rRNA from 1 species